CGGCAAAUUUGACAGCUUAGUCCACAAGAUCCACACCAAGCAUCUUAAAAUAUGCAAUGCAUUACGCGCUCCUGUCGAUGCUACCACAUCCUACCAGAAAGCUCCGACCAAGCAUUUCCUAUCCAUCCCAUGGCACACUAUGUGCUGUGGGGUUAUUAAUAUAAUUAAGACAAAACAUGAUUAUCACAUAUCUGAAAGGAGAAAUGCUACAAUGUUCCAAAAAAUAUGCAAUGACAAGGAAGCUAGGCCUAAUACCGAGAGGUGUGGGGUAUAUGAGAUACCAUUAGUCAAUUCCAUAACUAGCACAGUAAGCUAUUACAUUGGAAUAACCAGACAAUGCCUGAAAUAAUGUAUGCAGCAACACAUAAUAUGACAUACGAAACAAUAGGGAAAAUACAGCUCUAAUACAAGUGGCCUACUCAAAGGACUGGUCUGUUAU
rnacentral:lncRNA from 1 species